UCGAUGAAGAACGCAGCGAAAAGCGAUAUGUAAUGUGAAUUGCAGAUCUACAGUGAAUCAUCGAAUCUUUGAACGCACCUUGCGCUCCUCGGUGUUCCGAGGAGCAUGCCUGUUUGAGUGUCAGUA
rnacentral:rRNA from 1 species